rnacentral:lncRNA from 1 species
UUUAACUUGUGCAGGGCUCUCAGCCAAAGGGCACAACAAGGAGUCAGGCUAUAGGGCUGCACAAAGCCUGGCUGCACUCCUCAGCAUCCAUGGAGGCAGCAUUUCCAGGUGCAUUUCUCCACCCCAUGCUCAGAAUGGGAGCAUCGUCCUGCACUGCUGAUGUGCUGAAGGCAGGAGGGAGCAGUUGGUGCUGCUCUGCACUGAGCUCGUGUUUGUGCCCCAUAACCAGAGGCGUGAUCAGGUACAUUGGGAAGAAUGGGGCUGCUGCUGUAUUUUAAGCCGCCUGGUUUGAAAGCUGUGAAAGCAGAACGGAGGAUUUAAUGGCACGUUAAAUAUACGGCUGAUUGUUAGGUCCAAUUCUGAUUCCAAGGCAAAUAUGGCCCUGGGAAUUAAGGAUGAAGAUGAGUUUCACUACGAGGAUCCAAAGGGCGGCUGCCCAUCUGUAGGGCCAUCUGUGGUGCCGGCGGGGUGGGUGAUGGAGCAGGAAGAGUCUGGAGGUGAUGGUUGGACCAUGGAGCUGCCCCAGCUCCCAGCCCUGCAGCACCCUUUGAUGGAGCUGAAUGGUGAGAACAAGCAGAGAGAAAACGCUGCUGAGCAGGAGAAAAUGGGAGGGGGGCACCAAACCCAACCCCAUUCUUUUGCAUAUUCAAAUGAAGUCGUAAUAUUGCUAGGG